GACGAACGCUGGCGGCGUGCUUAACACAUGCGAGUCGAACGGUAAGGCCCUUCGGGGUACACGAGUGGCGAACGGGUGAGUAACACGUGGGUGAUCUGCCCUGCACUUCGGGAUAAGCCUGGGAAACUGGGUCUAAUACCGGAUAGGACUCCUGGCUUCAUGGUUGGGGGUGGAAAGCUUUUGCGGUGUGGGAUGGGCCCGCGGCCUAUCAGCUUGUUGGUGGGGUAAUGGCCUAACAAGGCGACGACGGGUAGCCGGCCUGAGAGGGUGACCGGUCACACUGGGACUGGGAUACGGCCCAGACUCCUACGGGAGGCAGAAGUGGGGAAUAUUGCACAAUGGGCGCAAGCCUGAUGCAGCGACGCCGCGUGAGGGAUGACGGCCUUCGGGUUGUAAACCUCUUUCAGCUAUGACGAAGCGCAAGUGACGGUAGUAGCAGAAGAAGGACCGGCCAACUACGUGCCAGCCGCCGCCGUAA
rnacentral:rRNA from 1 species